CGCAUGUGACGACGGUGGUAUAUAUUUUGAUUAUUUGAGUUGGAACUACGGGUAAAGAGAGACAGGAGGACAUGGGAUGCAUGGGGUUUAAUGACGCGAUGCAAUUGGGAUAUACAGAUAGAUACAUCCAUCCAUCCAUCAAUACAUUAGACAUGCUGAAUUAAACUUGCCUAUGGAGGAAACGCAGUUAUUGAUCUUUGCUUUUGAUGAAGGUAAGAGGAAUGCAUCCAGUCCCGUACAAAGAAUCAAAAGACUCUCAUCAAGUUGUUUGUUUGCGUGUGCAUGACAGGGGGUAUAUAUAUAAGCAUCAUUGAUGGCAAGCAAGAUGGAAUAUACUCUCUCGCAUAGAACAGA
rnacentral:sRNA from 1 species